rnacentral:rRNA from 1 species
UUUUGUAGCAAUACGGAACCUAGAGUGACGUACGGGUGCGUAACACGUAUGCAACCUACCCAUAACUGGAGGAUAGCUCCCCGAAAGGGGAAUUAACCCUCCAUAGUAUAAUUGACUGGCAUCAGUUGAUUAUUAAAACUCCGGUGGUUAUGGAUGGGCAUGCGUCUGAUUAGUUAGUUGGCGGUGUAAUGGACCACCAAGACGAUGAUCAGUAGGGGAACUGAGAGGUUGAUCCCCCACACUGGCACUGAGAUACGGGCCAGACUCCUACGGGAGGCAGCAGUAGGGAAUAUUGGUCAAUGGAUGCAAGUCUGAACCAGCCAUGCCGCGUGCAGGAAGAAGGCCCUAUGGG